rnacentral:rRNA from 1 species
AUGCAGUCGAACGAUACUCUUUAGCUUGCUAGAGAGGAAAGUGGCGCACGGGUGCGUAACGCGUAUGCAACCUACCUUAAUCAGGGGGAUAGCCCGAAGAAAUUCGGAUUAACACCGCAUAAAAUCACAGUACAGCAUUGUACAAUGAUCAAAUAUUUAUAGGAUUAAGAUGGGCAUGCGUGACAUUAGUUAGUUGGCGGGGUAACGGCCCACCAAGACCACGAUGUCUAGGGGAUCUGAGAGGAUGACCCCCCACACUGGUACUGAGACACGGACCAGACUCCUACGGGAGGCAGCAGUAAGGAAUAUUGGUCAAUGGAGGCAACUCUGAACCAGCCAUGCCGCGUGCAGGAAGACAGCCCUCUGGGUCGUAAACUGCUUUUAUUCGGGAAUAAACCUACUUACGUGUAAGUAGCUGAAUGUACCGAAGGAAUAAGGAUCGGCUAACUCCGUGCCAGCAGCCGCGGUAAUACGGAGGAUCCAAGCGUUAUCCGGAUUUAUUGGGUUUAAAGGGUGCGUAGGCGGCUUUUUAAGUCAGGGGUGAAAGACGGUGGCUCAACCAUCGCAGUGCCCUUGAUACUGAAGAGCUUGAAUGAACUAGAGGUAGGCGGAAUGUGACAAGUAGCGGUGAAAUGCAUAGAUAUGUCACAGAACACCGAUUGCGAAGGCAGCUUACUAUGGUUAAAUUGACGCUGAGGCACGAAAGCGUGGGGAUCAAACAGGAUUAGAUACCCUGGUAGUCCACGCCCUAAACGAUGAAUACUCGCUGUUAGCGAUACACAGUUAGCGGCUAAGCGAAAGCGUUAAGUAUUCCACCUGGGGGAGUACGGUCGCAAGAUUGAAACUCAAAGGAAUUGACGGGGGCCCGCACAAGCGGAGGAGCAUGUGGUUUAAUUCGAUGAUACGCGAGGAACCUUACCCGGGCUUGAAAGUUAGUGAAUCAUUUA